GUGCUGGUUGGCGUACUGGGCGAGCAUCGGCGGCUGCGCCUCGUCGAGGUGGGGCAGGGGGUGGUCGGCCAGGUCGAUCAGGUCGAACUCGGCACC
rnacentral:tRNA from 1 species